GACAUGGAGUCUAUCACAUGUUCAGGAGGAUGCUCAGACCCUUAAUUCAAUGGCCUACAGGGAGAAAUGGUCUCCUCCAAUGCAUUCUCUCAUUAGUGCUAUGCGUGUAGCUUUUAAUAGCAUUUCAUUCCACUUCAUUUAAAUAAAAUAUGGCCUUUGUAACUGAGAAGAUAAUUAGUAGCUGGUGAAAGCUCAUCUGUAAUUAUGUUGAGUCGAAACUGGUAAUUAUUACAUUGCUUUAUAUGUACAAUGUUUUUCCUCCCAAAUCCCCUCUGAUUCCCUCAUAGAUGCCUACAUAUUCUGCAGCAAUUUUGCAAUCACAUUUGUGGGAAACAGAGGAGAUCCCAGCAGCUCCUUGUUACCUCUCUUUCACUACACAAAAAGGAAAUAAUUCCUCAGCUCGUGAGAAAGUCACCCAUCUAUAAGUUAUGCUAUUUAAUCUGCGACAACUCAUUGUGGGCUCCAUUGAGAAACACCUUGCUUUUACAGUUCCACAUCUCUCUCAGAUGUUGCAGUGCAUUCCCCAAGGUCUGCGAGGUCACAUGCAGAGCCUGCGGACAGUUUUAGGGGUUACUCCUUGAUGACUGUAUGACGGUACCCUUGGCCGGAUAAGAGAUUCCAACAGGUUUGAUAGCCCCUAGAUAAUAUGAUCUGUAUCUCCCUGGCUUUAAGAACUUUUAGCUUCAAGAGUUACAACGUUUAAAUGCUACAAAUUUGUCUAGGAAAUAGAAGCUAUUCCACAAUGCCUGGAAAAAUGUAAGUGCCUUUUUCAGAUUUCUUCUCAGAUAAAGACCAUGUACAUCUAUAGAAUGCAUCUGCCUUCAAAUCUUCAUUGGCAAUUGCUGUGUAGUGUAAGGGCACUUCUGAGAUUUCACUUGCACACAGUGUGCUGUAUAAAUAAUAUACCUUGGGUAUUUUAGCAUUCCAGGCACGUGACUCUGAGCUUCAGUAUUGUCAGCAUUAUCAUUUUCUUUCUCCAGAAAUGAACAACUCCUGUUUCUUGUGUUUAUAAAUGAGGCCACUAGCAUUGAUACCGAAAUUAAAUCUUGGUCUUUAUAUCAAAUGUUGUUGCAAUCUUCAGUCCUUCUGGUCUUAUUAAACAGUGUGCAACAACAUUCUACUUCUUUCCUACAGUUCCUUUCAAAAUAAUAGCAGUGAGGUUGUUAGGAAUAAUACUAGAAAAUAUGACAACAUUCUGGUUGUUUGCUUGGACUUUGAAAGAUUACAUUUAGAUUUAGA
rnacentral:lncRNA from 1 species